rfam:Daucus carota subsp. sativus cultivar DH1 chromosome 3, whole genome shotgun sequence.
CAUUCCUGUGAUGAGUUAAAUAUUAAAGUAGUGGCCUGAAAUUCAUUGAUGAAUUACAAUCUCUGAGGAAUU